UACAGAGGGGGCAAGCGUUGUUCGGAAUUGCUGGGCGUAAAGGGCGCGUAGGCGGCCCUCUAAGUCGAACGUGAAAUCCCCGGGCUCAACCCGGGAACUGCGUCCGAUACUGGAAGGCUUGAAUUCGGGAGAGGGAUGCGGAAUUCCAGGUGUAGCGGUGAAAUGCGUAGAUAUCUGGAGGAACACCGGUGGCGAAGGCGGCAUCCUGGACCGGCAUUGACGCUGAGGCGCGAAAGCCAGGGGAGCAAACGGG
rnacentral:rRNA from 1 species